rnacentral:rRNA from 1 species
AUUGAACGCUGGCGGCAUGCCUUACACAUGCAAGUCGAACGGUAACGCGGGGCAACCUGGCGACGAGUGGCGAACGGGUGAGUAAUGUAUCGGAACGUGCCCAGUUGUGGGGGAUAACUGCUCGAAAGAGCAGCUAAUACCGCAUACGACCUGAGGGUGAAAGCGGGGGAUCGCAAGACCUCGCGCAAUUGGAGCGGCCGAUAUCAGAUGAGGUAGUUGGUGGGGUAAAGGCCCACCAAGCCAACGAUCUGUAGCUGGUCUGAGAGGACGACCAGCCACACUGGGACUGAGACACGGCCCAGACUCCUACGGGAGGCAGCAGUGGGGAAUUUUGGACAAUGGACGCAAGUCUGAUCCAGCCAUGCCGCGUGCGGGAAGAAGGCCUUCGGGUUGUAAACCGCUUUUGUCAGGGAAGAAAAGGGCGACUCUAAUACAGUUGCCUCAUGACGGUACCUGAAGAAUAAGCACCGGCUAACUACGUGCCAGCCGCCGCAGUAAUAC